rnacentral:rRNA from 1 species
AAAUUGAAGAGUUUGAUCAUGGCUCAGAUUGAACGCUGGCGGCAGGCCUAACACAUGCAAGUCGAGCGGUAGCACAGAGAGCUUGCUCUCGGGUGACGAGCGGCGGACGGGUGAGUAAUGUCUGGGAAACUGCCUGAUGGAGGGGGAUAACUACUGGAAACGGUAGCUAAUACCGCAUAACGUCGCAAGACCAAAGUGGGGGACCUUCGGGCCUCAUGCCAUCAGAUGUGCCCAGAUGGGAUUAGCUAGUAGGUGGGGUAACGGCUCACCUAGGCGACGAUCCCUAGCUGGUCUGAGAGGAUGACCAGCCACACUGGAACUGAGACACGGUCCAGACUCCUACGGGAGGCAGCAGUGGGGAAUAUUGCACAAUGGGCGCAAGCCUGAUGCAGCCAUGCCGCGUGUGUGAAGAAGGCCUUCGGGUUGUAAAGCACUUUCAGCGGGGAGGAAGGCGGUGAGGUUAAUAACCUCAUCGAUUGACGUUACCCGCAGAAGAAGCACCGGCUAACUCCGUGCCAGCAGCCGCGGUAAUACGGAGGGUGCAAGCGUUAAUCGGAAUUACUGGGCGUAAAGCGCACGCAGGCGGUCUGUCAAGUCGGAUGUGAAAUCCCCGGGCUUAACCUGGGAACUGCAUUCGAAACUGGCAGGCUAGAGUCUUGUAGAGGGGGGUAGAAUUCCAGGUGUAGCGGUGAAAUGCGUAGAGAUCUGGAGGAAUACCGGUGGCGAAGGCGGCCCCCUGGACAAAGACUGACGCUCAGGUGCGAAAGCGUGGGGAGCAAACAGGAUUAGAUACCCUGGUAGUCCACGCCGUAAACGAUGUCGAUUUGGAGGUUGUGCCCUUGAGGCGUGGCUUCCGGAGCUAACGCGUUAAAUCGACCGCCUGGGGAGUACGGCCGCAAGGUUAAAACUCAAAUGAAUUGACGGGGGCCCGCACAAGCGGUGGAGCAUGUGGUUUAAUUCGAUGCAACGCGAAGAACCUUACCUGGUCUUGACAUCCACAGAACUUUCCAGAGAUGGAUUGGUGCCUUCGGGAACUGUGAGACAGGUGCUGCAUGGCUGUCGUCAGCUCGUGUUGUGAAAUGUUGGGUUAAGUCCCGCAACGAGCGCAACCCUUAUCCUUUGUUGCCAGCGGUCCGGCCGGGAACUCAAAGGAGACUGCCAGUGAUAAACUGGAGGAAGGUGGGGAUGACGUCAAGUCAUCAUGGCCCUUACGACCAGGGCUACACACGUGCUACAAUGGCAUAUACAAAGAGAAGCGACCUCGCGAGAGCAAGCGGACCUCAUAAAGUAUGUCGUAGUCCGGAUUGGAGUCUGCAACUCGACUCCAUGAAGUCGGAAUCGCUAGUAAUCGUAGAUCAGAAUGCUACGGUGAAUACGUUCCCGGGCCUUGUACACACCGCCCGUCACACCAUGGGAGUGGGUUGCAAAAGAAGUAGGUAGCUUAACCUUCGGGAGGGCGCUUACCACUUUGUGAUUCAUGACUGGGGUGAAGUCGUAACAAGGUAACCGUAGGGGAACCUGCGGUUGGAUCACCUCCUUACCUUAAAGAA